GAUGAACGCUGGCGGCGUGCCUAAUACAUGCAAGUCGAGCGAACAGACGAGGAGCUUGCUCCUCUGACGUUAGCGGCGGACGGGUGAGUAACACGUGGAUAACCUACCUAUAAGACUGGGAUAACUUCGGGAAACCGGAGCUAAUACCGGACAAUAUAUUGAACCGCAUGGUUCAAUAGUGAAAGACGGUUUUGCUGUCACUUAUAGAUGGAUCCGCGCCGCAUUAGCUGGUUGGUAAGGUAACGGCUUACCAAGGCAACGAUGCGUAGCCGACCUGAGAGGGGGAUCGGCCACACUGGAACUGAGACACGGUCCAGACUCCUACGGGAGGCAGCAGUAGGGAAUCUUCGGCAAUGGGGGAAAGCCUGACGGAGCAACGCCGCGUGGGUGAUGAAGGUCUUCGGAUCGUAAAACUCUGUUAUUAGGGAAGAACAAAUGUGUAAGUAACUAUGCACGUCUUGACGGUACCUAAUCAGAAAGCCACGGCUAACUACGUG
rnacentral:rRNA from 1 species